CCUACGGGCGGCAGCAGUGGGGAAUAUUGGGCAAUGGGCGCAAGCCUGACCCAGCAACGCCGCGUGAAGGAAGAAGGCUUUCGGGUUGUAAACUUCUUUUCUCAGGGACGAAGAAAGUGACGGUACCUGAGGAAUAAGCCACGGCUAACUACGUGCCAGCCGCCGCGGUAAUACGUAGGUGGCAAGCGUUAUCCGGAUUUAUUGGGUGGAAAGGGCGUGUAGGCGGGAGCGCAAGUCAGAUGUGAAAACUCAGGGCUCAACCCUGAGCCUGCAUUUGAAACUGUGUUUCUUGAGUGCUGGUGAGGCAAUCGGAAUGCCAGGUGUAGGAGUGAAAUCCGUAGAUAUCUGGAGGAACAUCAGUGGCGAAGGCGACUAUCUGGCACAUAACUGACGCUGAGGAGCGAAAGCGUGGGUAGCAAACAGGAUUAGAUACCCCGGUAGUC
rnacentral:rRNA from 1 species